rnacentral:snRNA from 1 species
AUCGCUUCUCGGCCUUUUGGCUAAGAUCAGUGUAGUAUCUGUUCUUAUCAGUUUAAUAUCUGAUACGUCCCCUAUCUGGGGACCAUAUAUUAAAUGGAUUUUUGGAACAGGGAGAUGGAAGAAGAGCUUGCUCUGUCCACUCCACGCAUCGACCUGGUAUUGCAGUACGCUCCAGGACCGGUGCACCUCUC